ACCGAACUCGAGCCUCCUUGCUCGAGGCGCCUCACAU
rnacentral:rRNA from 13 species